CCUACGGGAGGCUGCAGUGAGGAAUAUUGGUCAAUGGACGAGAGUCUGAACCAGCCAAGUAGCGUGAAGGAUGACUGCCCUAUGGGUUGUAAACUUCUUUUAUAUGGGAAUAAAACGUUCCACGUGUGGGAUUUUGUAUGUACCAUAUGAAUAAGGAUCGGCUAACUCCGUGCCAGCAGCCGCGGUAAUACGGAGGAUCCGAGCGUUAUCCGGAUUUAUUGGGUUUAAAGGGAGCGUAGGUGGUUUGUUAAGUCAGUUGUGAAAGUUUGCGGCUCAACCGUAAAAUUGCAGUUGAAACUGGCAGUCUUGAGUACAGUAGAGGUGGGCGGAAUUCGUGGUGUAGCGGUGAAAUGCUUAGAUAUCACGAAGAACUCCGAUUGCGAAGGCAGUUCACUGGACUGCAACUGACACUGAGGCUCGAAAGUGUGGGUAUCAAACAGGAUUAGAUACCCUUGUAGUC
rnacentral:rRNA from 1 species